GCGGUAUCUUAGUAAAUAUGCUCCACAGACAGCGCAGAUGUUCUGCAAUCUCAAAUCUAGCAGUGUAAGGGUUAGGAAUGAUGCAGGCAAAAUGACCAUGUGCUGACUGAGGUCUCUCUUCUUUCCGCUAGGAGCUCUCCCUCCUUCCUGCUGUCCUCUCUCUCUGCCAAGCUGUCAGCUGAUGGGACUGAUCACCCAAGCGUGGAGCAUGCAGCCGAAUCAGCCCUCUCCCUCUCCA